rnacentral:rRNA from 1 species
UACGUAGGGACCGAGCGUUGUCCGGAAUCAUUGGGCGUAAAGAGCGUGUAGGCGGCUAUUUAAGUCCUGCGUGAAAUCCUGCGGCUCAACCGCAGACGGUCGUGGGAAACUGGAUGGCUAGAGUGCGGGAGAGGAGAGUGGAAUUCCCGGUGUAGCGGUGAAAUGCGCAGAUAUCGGGAAGAACACCCGUGGCGAAGGCGGCUCUCUGGAACGCGACUGACGCUGAGACGCGAAAGCGUGGGGAGCAAACAGG